UACGUAGGGGGCAAGCGUUAUCCGGAAUCAUUGGGUUUAAAGGGUCCGUAGGCGGUUUGGUAAGUCAGUGGUGAAAGCCCAUCGCUCAACGGUGGAACGGCCAUUGAUACUGCCAGACUUGAAUUAUUAGGAAGUAACUAGAAUAUGUAGUGUAGCGGUGAAAUGCUUAGAGAUUACAUGGAAUACCAAUUGCGAAGGCAGGUUACUACUAAUGGAUUGACGCUGAUGGACGAAAGCGUGGGUAGCGAACAGG
rnacentral:rRNA from 1 species